AUUUAUGAAAUAAUUAAUACUCUUUGAAUGUGGAGCACGUUUUCACCUGGUUAUCGUCGAAGAUUAAAUUUAAAUUGAUUGCUGAGGAUACUAAAUUUAGAAGAGUGCAAUUCUCAAACCGUAUUAAAGAUGCUUUGUCAAGAAAUAAAGUAGUAAGGGAAAGAGUGUUUCCAGUUUGCUUUCCUUCAAAAAGUUCUUAUACUGGUCAUUUUACUAGAGAUUCUCCAGACUUAACCCCAAAAAAAAAACAGAAAAGUAAAAACCUUACUUCUUCAUUCUACACAUUCUCAGAGAGAGGUUGCAAGCGUUUCAAAGUCAGUAGUGAGUCGAA